rnacentral:rRNA from 1 species
UACGUAGGAGGCGAGCGUUGUCCGGAAUUACUGGGCGUAAAGAGCGCGUAGGCGGCGCGGUACGACCGCUGUGAAAGCCCCCAGCUCAACUGGGGAGGGUCAGCGGUAACGGCCGUGCUAUGAGUGCAGGAGAGGGAAGUGGAACUCCCAGUGUAGUGGUGAAAUACGUAGAGAUUGGGAAGAACACCAGUGGCGAAGGCGGCUAUCUGGACGGUUUCUGACGCUAAGACGCGAAAGCGUGGGGAGCAAACAGG